rnacentral:rRNA from 1 species
UACGUAGGGGGCAAGCGUUGUCCGGAUUUAUUGGGCGUAAAGCGCUCGCAGGUGGUUCGAUGCGUCGUGCGUGAAAGCCCCCGGCUCAACUGGGGAGGGUCGUGCGAUACGGUCGAACUGGAGGCCAGUAGGGGGAUGCGGAAUUCCGGGUGUAGUGGUGGAAUGCGUAGAGAUCCGGAGGAACACCAGCGGCGAAGGCGGCAUCCUGGACUGGUCCUGACACUCAUGAGCGAAAGCGUGGGGAGCGAUCCGG